UACAGAGGGUGCGAGCGUUGUCCGGAAUCACUGGGCGUAAAGGGCGCGUAGGCGGCACGAUAAGUCAAAGGUGAAAUCCCUCGGCUCAACUGAGGAACUGCCUUUGAGACUGUCGAGCUUGAGGCCGGGAGGGGGUAGCGGAAUUCCCAGUGUAGCGGUGAAAUGCGUAGAUAUUGGGAGGAACACCAGUGGCGAAGGCGGCUACCUGGACCGGUUCUGACGCUGAUGCGCGAAAGCGUGGGUAGCAAACAGG
rnacentral:rRNA from 1 species